GGGAGUGGAUGGGUGCUGGUGUGCCCUUCGGUCUUCAAAACCGAUAUGAGGGGUUAAUAGCCUCUUUGGUGAGUUCGAUUCUCACACAUUCCCGCCA
rnacentral:tRNA from 1 species